rnacentral:rRNA from 1 species
UACGAAGGGGGCUAGCGUUGCUCGGAUUUACUGGGCGUAAAGGGCGCGUAGGCGGACAUUUAAGUCAGGGGUGAAAUCCCGGGGCUCAACCUCGGAACUGCCUUUGAUACUGGGUGUCUUGAGUGUGAGAGAGGUAUGUGGAACUCCGAGUGUAGAGGUGAAAUUCGUAGAUAUUCGGAAGAACACCAGUGGCGAAGGCGACAUACUGGCUCAUUACUGACGCUGAGGCGCGAAAGCGUGGGGAGCAAACAGG